rnacentral:lncRNA from 1 species
CGGGAGUGGCGCUUGCCGCGGUCCGGGCUUGCACCCCGCUGGGCAAAGUACCCGGGGCUGUCACACGGCGAGCUGAGCCCUGGGCCGGCGGGUGAGGUUCCCCAAGCGGCGAUGCCCCUGGCUCCCUGUUCCGCCAUUGCGAGCCGUUAGGGCCAAGCUGGAGGGAGGGCGGCGAGGCGCGGCUGCCGGUAGGGCGGGGCCCUGGGCUGCUGGCGGGGCGGAGGCCGGAGGCGGCCUUGGGCGGGUGGCUUCUCUGGGUCCCACGGUUCCUGCCCAGGCUCUUCGAACCAGGACCAGUGCGGGUAAUGUGAAUUGACACUUGUUCCGGUUCAGGGCUGCCCCACCCCUGGUUGCCCCAAACCCUGCGGCCUGGUGGGCUUGGGCAAGUGGGCUGGAGUAGCGCUCUGUUAGGAAACGAGUAUGCGAGGGAGGGAGGGUGGGUGUGGUCGAAAUGCCCAAGCCUCGUUUCAAAAAUGAAGACGCAUGACCUUAAAAUUAUUUCUGGAGAAGAAUGCUUGCGCGAGAGGUGUGGGGGGGGGGGCGGGGAGCGGGAUGGAGGGAGGAGUAUAGAGUCUGUUAAAAAUCUGAUAGACACGGACUUGUUAUUUAUUCCGGAAAUAUCUAACGAGGCCCACCAGGUUCAAGGCACUGGGGAAGGACCAGGGUCGUGCAUUUGAAAAGCUUACCUUAGUGGAAUAGACUGGCUGAAGCAAACAAACAAGGUAAUGACAGGUGUAGUAUGGCUUUGCAGGAAACACACAGAGUGAUGAAAAAGAUUUUGUAGACGAAGCCUCUGGCUGGAUAGGAUGGCUAAAAAAGACCUCUAGGAGGAAGUGAUAGUUGAGGAGCCUCCUGACAAAAAAGGCACGAAAUACACCUAACCACGACUUUACAUACAGGGACUGCAGAUUCCAGAACCCCCUGAAUAAGCCCACUAAUUCCAUGUUGAGCACCUGUCUCUAAAGCCUUCUAAGGGCUGUUUCUGUGCUGCCCACUUCCCCUGCAAUUUCAGAAGGCUUGAUCACCCUUACAGUUUAUGGGGGCUGGCACUGUGGCACUAAUGGGGGAGGUUCGAGAGACAGGGAGAAUUAUACCCAUCAGCUUUGAGAGACAAAUUCUUUACCUUUUCACUGUUUCUAUGUCACUAUAUUUCUCAGAGUCAUGAGUAAACAUUAAAACUAUGAUUUUUACGUUGGCAUGUUGUGAUCUGAAUAAAAUGAUUAAUGACAUCUUUUGCCAAAUUUGUUGAAGACAAAGUGAGAGGAUCUAUUCAGAUGCAGUACCUGAAUAAUACCAAAAACCCAACACGUAUUAAAUAUUAACGACAUAAUUAAUAGAUUGUCUGGAUAAUACAUUAGAUUCUCUUGCCCUUUUAAUUUUUCUCCUUAGCCACUUGUUUUGAUUCAUGCAAACCAGCAGAAAUAUUUUGCAUUGUGUUUCUGGGAAAAGGGACUGGGAGGUAGCUAACACUUAAUCACCUUCUAUUUACACAGCAUUGUGCUUCCAGUAUUAGGACUAACCUUGAGAUAUGGGUAUCAUUAUACCCACUUUAGUAACAAAGACAUUGAGAUUCAGAGAGAUUGUGACAUACCUAAGGUAGCAAAACUAGUAGCUGGAAGAGCCAAAAUUUGAACUCAGAUCUCUCUGGCCCUACUAAAUGCAUCACCAUAAAUUAUUUCAUGGGCAAUCUUUCCCUGCACCUUAAUUGAUUUAUUUCUGCCAAAUGUAUGUGUUCCUAGAUCUUUAUGGAAUAUUCUGACAUGGGAAUGCCCCCAGGUCUGUGAGGACUGGCUUCUCUGGGGUUGUAUCAAUAGAUGAAGGAAAAUUUUGCAGUUGUUUAUACAGUUUGGGGGGUUGAGGUGGUACAAUUUGUACAUUUUUGUUCCUUUCAUAGCAAAUUCUUCAGUUUUCUUUGAUGAGGCCAAGCAAUAAAUUUUUUCCUUUCUUAAGAGCAAAUACUUAUUUUUGUGGUUUUCACAAAAGUUGUCUUUCACAAACACGGUAAUACUGUGUUUCACACUGCACAUCUCUAAGAUGUGAAAGAUCAUUAGUUCAAACAUUAAAAGUAGGAUACCACUUUUGAAAGCCUAAUAUUUGUAUUGGUAAAGUGUGUCUGGUCCAGGCACAAUGGCUCACACCUGUAAUCCCACUACUUUGGGAUGCCAAGACAGGUGAAUUGCAUAAGCUUAGGAGUUCAUGACCAGCCUGGGGAACAUGGUGAAACCUUGUCUCUACAGAAAAUUAGCUGGGCAUGGUGGCAUGUGCCUGUUAGUCUCAGCUACUUGGGAGACCCAGGUGGGAGGAUUGCUUGGGCCCAGGAGGUCAAGGCUGCAGUAAGAUGUGAUCGUACCACUGUCCUCCAGCCUGCAUGACAGAGCAGGACCCUGUCUCCAAAAAAAAAAGUGUGUCUGUGUGUGUGUUAGAAACAUUUUUCUAAUUUUAUUUAACUCCUUACAAGCCUAUGGAAACCUGGCAAUGUAAUUGUCUUUUACUGUGUAUAUUUGUUUUAAGUUCUCCUUCUAAGAAUUCCUAUCUAGAUUUAUUUUUUCAUGUUGUUAUUUUUUUCUUUUUUACUUUUUAUUUGGAUAUAAUUAUUAAAAAGUUGCAAAAAUAGUAUAGCGGGCAUGUGUAGUAUUUGCCCAGUUUACCCUAUUGAUAUCUUACAUAUCUAUAAUACCUUAUUAAAACCAGGAAAUUGACAUACUACAGUCUUUAGGUUUUUAAUUUAUUUUUAUGUUUCAUAUCAAAAAGUUUCCAUUUUGCAGUAAUUCAUUUUUAUUAUAUUUGACUUGGCCCUUCCUCUCCUAAAUUAGCAAAUGUUAAUAAGCUUGUCCUAGUGCUCAUCUUGAAUUACAAGUUUAUUUUUAAAAUUAUCUGGGUCAACACAAUUGAAAGUGAUUUAUUUGUAAGGUGGUUGCUUUCUCUGGUCAUACUGUUCCAUGUCAUCCUGCCCUAAUAAACCUGCAACAUUAUACAACUUGUGUGUGUAUAUUUUAACACAUCUUCUGACCACUGCAGUUUUUUCACAGAUUGUUAUCAAAGGAAAACAGAGGAAUACAAGACUCGUCAUUUGACUGGAUUUUUUAAAAAAGUUUCUAAACAUCUAACUGUCAAAACAAGAAUACUGGGUGGGCAUGGUGGCUAACGCCUUGUAAUCCAGCACUUUGAGGGGCCAAGGUGGGCAGAUACCUUGAGCAAGAGUUCUAGACCAACCUGGGCAACAUGGUGAAAUCCUGUCUCUACAAAAAAAAAAAAAUAUAGCUGGUUGUGGUGGUCCACACCUGUAGUCCCAGCUACUCCAGAGGCUGAGGUGGGUGGAGCACUUGAGUCCUGGAGGUCAAAGCUGCAGUGAGCCAUGACUACACCACUGCAAGCCAGCCUGGGUGACAGAGCAAGAUCCUACCUCAAAAAAAAAAAAAAAAAAAAAAAAAAAGAAUGCUGUGGUUUGUUGGUUAGUGUGCAAAAUCUCACUUAUGGCUAAUUCUGGUUCUACAUGGAUUCUCCUACCCAGGGCACUCACCCUUUACUCCACCAGAGAAUAAACAGGGAAAAAAUGAAGGCUAAAUUACUUUGUUCAAUCUUAGUCUUGAGGAAAGGUUGAUGAAAGGGGAAAAUUUGGGACUUUGUGUAGGUAUCAAUUAUGUUAUGAGCACCUAAUCACUGAUUAUCAAGUGACGGUUUUUCUGCAUUAUGUACUUACUAUAAAUGAGUAAAAAACAUCCUUCAUAUUAUAGCUUAUUUAACAAACUAUUAUUUAUCUGCUGUGUAUCAGCAGAUAAAUCAAGCACCCAAUUAGGUACUUGACACAGGGACAAAACAAUCUCUGCUCUUAAGGAGCUAGAAUUCCAGAGUUUCUGUUGAUAUAUAUUUUUUUAAUGUUAAGCUCUCACUAUGUGCUAGAUAAUUUGCAAAUGCUAGACAUCCGACGGGAAGCAAAAACAAAAAUGUUUCUUUUUCUUAUGAAACUGGUAAGUUAGACAAUCUCACAAAAGUACCUUUAAAAUCUAACAGGUAUUACAAAGGGUAGGUAUGUGCUGCCAUGAGGGCAUAAAAGCAUUGGGACUUGACCUAACCUGAGGUAUCAGAAAUGCCUUCUCCUGGGAAUAGAUGUUUCAAGCCGAGAUUUAAAAGUGCCUCAGAGUAUAAACUACAUGCAGAGGUGGGGGAAAGCAAGAAAGCACAAAUAGACCUCAUGAUAGAAGCAACAGAGUCCCAGGGACUGAAAUGAGAGAAUGUGAGAUGAGUCUGGAGAGUUAAGGGUCCACCAUUCAGGGUCUUAGAGGCUGUGGUAAAGAUUCUAAUCUUUGUUCCGAAAUCUGCAAACCAAUCGAGUUUUUAGUGAGAGCAACAUGAUCAGAUUUGUAUUUUCAAAAGACCACUCUGACUUCAAUGUUAAGAAUUCAUUCAUGCAUAGUGUCAUGCACCUGUGGUCCCAGCUACUCGGGAGGCUGAGGCACAAGAAUCGCUUGAACCGGGGAGGCGUAGGCUGCAGUGAGUCGAGAUCAUGGCACUGCACUCCAGCCUGGGCCACAGAGUAAGACUUUGCUUCAAAAAAGAAAAAUUUUUUAAAAAGAAUUCAUUUUUGGCCAGGUGUGGUAGCUCACAACUGUAAGCCCAGCACUUUGGGAGGCCAAGGUGAGAGGAUUGCUUGCGCCCAGGAGUUUGAGACCAGCCUAAGCAAUAUAGUGGGACCCCAUCUCUACAAAAUAUAAAAAAAUGAAAACAUUAGCCAAGUGUGGUGGUGCGCACCUGUAGUCUCAGCUACUCAUUCUUUAAAUAAAUGCAUCCUGAAGGCCUGCUAUAGACCAAAUCCUACUCUGCACACAGAGCACACGGCAGUGGACAACAGACAAAUUCCCUAUCUGUGAGGAUCUUACAUACAAUAUACAAAUCAUAAAUAAGAUAAUAGUGCUGUAAGAAUAUUGGAACAGGGUGAGAAUGAAAGGGUAGGGUGGAGUUGCUAUUUUAUAAGCUUGAAUCCUAUGAAAUUACUGAUUUUUAAAAAUAAUUUUUGACCUGAGAAUGACAUUACACCUUAGGUUUGAAUGGUUCAAUCCAGUUGUGUGACAUUAGGGUCAUAUGGUUCAACUUAAUACUUGGAAGAGUCAGAACUAAUGAGGUGAUCGAAAGAAAGAGAAGCAAGCCAUGUAAAUACCUGGGAGAAGAGCAUUUGAAGCAAAGGAACAGCAAGUGCAAAGGCCCUAAAACAAAAAUGUGCCUGCCAUGUUUAAGGAGCAGUAACAAGGCUGAAGAGUAAAGGACAAGUGGGAAGAAUGGUAACAGAGGCCAGAUCAUACUGGUGACCAUGGUAACAAAUUGGCUUUUCUCCUUUUUUUUUUCCCCCUUAAGACAGGGUCUCACUUUGUCACUCAGGCUGGAGUGCAAUGGCGUGCUCAUAGCUCACUGCAGUCCUGAACUUCUGGGCUCAAGUGAUCUUCCUGCCUUAGCUUCCUUAGUAACUGGGACUACAGGCAUCCAGCACCACGCCCAGCUAAGUUUUUUUUUUUAAGAGAUGGUAUUUCAUUAUGUUGCCCAGGCUGGUCUUAAACUCCCGCCCGCAAGUGAUCCUCCCACCUCAGCCUCCUAAAGUCUUCCAAAAUGCUGGGAUUACAGACGUGAGCUAUCACGCCCAGCCUGGUUUUUCCUCUUUGAGUAAGCUAAGCCGUGGGAGGGUUUUGAGCAGAGGAACUACACAUCUGCCAUUAUUUAAAGGAGUAUUCUGUUAAUGGUAGAAUAUAAGUGGUGGAUGCAGAAGUGAUUGCUGUAAAAUUCUUUCAACUUUGCUGUGUGUUUGAAAUUUUUCCUAAUAAAAUAAUAGUUUAAACUGGUUAUUGUGAAUAGACUUUAGGGGAGCAAAGGUGAGAGCAGGAAGACCAGUUAGGCUAUAACAAUAAUUCAGGUAGCAGUGGAAGUGGUAGGAAGUGGUUGGGAGCAGAUGUGGUGUUUGAAUUACAAGUCAGUAAUUCAGAGGAAAUACCAGGUAGGAAAUACAAAUGUAUGAAUCCACCUAAAGAUUAGGAAAACAAGGACAAAUGUCUUGAGAAUUAAAAGAAAAUGCUCAGAAGUGUACCCUAAAGCCUCUUACUCAUGCUUUUGUUCUAGGCUGGUUUUGGUUGUAGAUAGUUAUCAGUUAUUAUAUACUGCCAUUCAGAUUAUUUAUAUGUAUUACUGUCCACAACUCACUUGUGUUCUAAAGGGUUUUUUUUAAUAAUGUUCUUGUCUUCCCAAGCAGAUUACA